rnacentral:rRNA from 1 species
UACGAGGGGGGCGAGCGUUGUUCGGAAUUAUUGGGCGUAAAGGGUGCGUAGGCGGUUCCGCAAGUCCUGUGUGAAAUCUUCGGGCUCAACUCGAAGUCUGCACGGGAAACUGCGGGGCUUGAGUGUGGGAGAGGUGAGUGGAAUUCCCGGUGUAGCGGUGAAAUGCGUAGAUAUCGGGAGGAAUACCUGUGGCGAAAGCGGCUCACUGGACCAUAACUGACGCUGAUGCACGAAAGCUGGGGGAGCAAACAGG